GACGCCCAGGCAAAAGAUCUUCCUGGUGACUCCGUGACGACGAGUCGUGGUGUGCGCGAGCGUAGCAGUUAUUCCGGCAACUACCGGCGCGGGAGCUCCAGCGUGCAGGUCUUAGUACAAAUGCAAGUGGCAUUUCCGGCCAGCAGCGAGUCCAGCUGCCUUCUACGUCGCCUCAUCCUGUAUGAAUUGGAUUUCUUCAUCGUCAACUGCUGAGGUAUUGUGCUUAACACAACAUUUUCAGAAACAGCCAUCGUUACUCUAGGCAGCAUCCAGUUUGCUGGCCUGACGGUUAGCCGAUUUUCAAAUUGGAUUAACUGUGCGAAUUGAGAUGGCACGAAGCUGACGCAAUUUAAAGUUUAGGAUGCAACAAGGGUGGCACUAGCACUGCCGAAGUAAAGAAGAACAAGCCCCCUCCUGUAUAGUUUCGGUGAGCUCAGAUAAUGAAAACAUUCGACCUUUACAGAACAUUUUUCAUUCAGUAAAAAUAUGUGAAUUGAGGGCUAUAUUGGUUCUUUCCUAUACGUAUAGUAUUGUUUUUAUGCAUGACAGUCGUUUUAAAGGAAUGCCUAAUGAUAUGCCUAGGUGUUAUUUUUCCUCAACUGAACUAUUUGUAGCUUCAGUUAAGUUUUGAUUUGUCCCUACAUCAUGUGCAUUCAUGUUCAUAUAGAAAUUGUAUUAUCAUGUCCAUCCACAGUAUGGUGCUUUGGUAAGGGUUUAGGAAGCUUCUACUGGUUGUUUUUUGAUUCAGACAUGGGGCAUAAAAGUAACAUCGCAUGUCUUACGGCUAAAUGAUAUGUAUCUUGGAUGCAAUUCAGUCGUCGAAAAGCCGAGGAGAGGUCUAAAUAUUUUAUAACUUCUGUUUUCCUUUGUAUUGGUGCAUUAUUCACGAUUAGUCAAUUAAAUACCACACCCUUUUAAACUAAA